rnacentral:rRNA from 1 species
AUCUGUGGCCAAAUAUUCUUGUGAAAUGAUGUCUGAGUCUAUAAGUUAAGCAGGGUUAUGUGUGCUCAGUACUUGGAUGGGAGACCCCCCAAGGUACAUCUUGCUGCUGUUGAAA